GACGAACGCUGGCGGCGUGCUUAACACAUGCAAGUCGAACGGAAAGGCCCUGCUUGCAGGGUACUCGAGUGGCGAACGGGUGAGUAACACGUGGGUGAUCUGCCCUGCACUUCGGGAUAAGCUUGGGAAACUGGGUCUAAUACCGGAUAGGAACCAUCUUUAGUGUGGUGGUUGGAAAGUAUUUUUGGUGUAGGAUGAGCUCGCGGCCUAUCAGCUUGUUGGUGGGGUAAUGGCCUACCAAGGCGGCGACGGGUAGCCGGCCUGAGAGGGUGUACGGCCACACUGGGACGGAGAUCCGGCCCAGACUCCUACGGGAGGCAGCAGUGGGGAAUAUUGCACAAUGGGCGCAAGCCUGAUGCAGCGACGCCGCGUGAGGGAUGAAGGCUUUCGGGUUGUAAACUCCUUUCGCUAGGGACGAAGCUUUGUUGUGACGGUACCUAGAUAAGAAGCACCGGCUAACUACGUG
rnacentral:rRNA from 1 species